rnacentral:snRNA from 12 species
AUACUUACCUGGCAAGGGAGAUCCCAUGAUCAGGCAGAUGGUUUUCCCAGGGUGAGGCUCAUCCUCUGCACCAUGGGUGUGCUGACUCCUUCAGUUUGGCAGUGCUGGAUUAAUGAUUGGACUCGAUGAACCUAAAGGUUUUUU